UAAAGUUAAAUGUUUGAUCGUUUUGUAGGGGCUUGACAAACGCUCAAUUUUUAUGGGUGUGCCGCAUUAAAGACUUGGAAGUAAACGUCCACUGCUAUGAUUGCAUAGCAGUUUGCGUAGUCUUGCGUUGGAGCCUUAUGUGAAUUUUCUUGUACACAUAACUGACUUAUUUCCCGGAUGUGAUGUCAAGGCUUUGCGCAUAGUUUGUAUCGCCUAUAGUUGUAUGGUGUUUAAUGAUAAAUGACCGUACCUGUCAGCAUACUCGUGAUCACGAUCCGGACAGAAGAUCACUGCGAUCGCGGGUCUCAAAUGUUAAGAGAGAUUCCAAGAUAAAUAAACAAAAAGGAGACUCACGGUAACUUAUGGAUACGACCUAGCACCCGAAAUAAUACCAAAACAAUUGGUAUUUUGACUUUAAGCUCAAGGCCUGGUGUCAAUAACAGAUGCUAUCUCAGUAACAAGGGUGUUUUCAGUUCUGACACUUGAAUACGAUUCCUUCUUGUAUAACAAAAGCUUGGGUUAAAAUUGAGGUCUUAAUUCAUUCCCCCUUUAAUGAAUGAAUGAGGUUGGCCACUUGCAAUUUAACUCUGGGUUUACCAAAGAAAAGCUGCUCCCAACCAGGUUAGUUUCAAGGUGCAAGUUACUACAGUUACUGACUCUGAGUAUAAGUGACCUCUCCUUUAGAAACAGGCUUCGGUUACCCUGCUCUCUCAGGUUUGACACACCUCACAAUCUGAAACGGAAAACCCAGAGUUUCCCUCAGUUCAUGGUUGAUAUACUCAAGAUUUUUCACUAAACCUCCUUUCUGAAACUGCUACAUUAGCUUUGUUAUUAAUUUUUCUCCCACCGCUGCUCCUCCCACAGAGAAGAAGAGACAGGUGUUGAGAGUGGAAGUGAAAUCAGAUGAGAACGUGAACGAUCCUGAAGUGAAGAAGAAAGUUCUGGAGAAGAUCCAGCACAUCCUGAACAUGAAGGGCUUGGAAGGCAACGUCACGCUGUCAUGGAGAAAUCAAUCCGAUGGGAAUGUCUUCCAGAAGAAGCAGAAGAAUAAAGAGACUCAGCACACCUGCCAUUGAACUACAGCUGCAGACUUCAUUAUCAUACAUAGAUAUGGUAUAUGCUACAGGUGUAUAUACACACAAUAAUAUAAAAGUCUUAAUCCUCUGAGGUAGUGCAGUGACAUAAAGCAAUAGUGCAUCCGAGUCAAAUAGUAAGGAGGUUAUUGCACCUUUAUAGGAGUUUUUAUUGCACAUUUUCAUGGUGGGGAGUGUGUAAGAGGUUAUCCCCUUACCCGCUGUCUGCACCUGGGUCCUCUGUCCUUGUUCCCUCACCAUUUCAUGACAUGGGGCAAUUCAUGCUAUUAAGAAACCAUUAACUACGACUUUUCCCCCAAUAAACUCUUAGUUUGUUGCUUAUUAAUAAUUAGUAAGAUAGUUGUUAGGUUUAGGUAAAGACGAGACCGGAGAGAGUGUGUGGAAGGCCAUAUGGGCCAUAAUUGCCUCUCUUCACACAAAACAUGGGGUUCUCUCAUGGUUCUGUAACAUCUUGUCUUGCUUUUCUUGAUCUAGUGGAAGAACAAUGACACAGAUUAAAGAUGUUUAACAGAAAAACCUGUAAAUAAAACAAGAAUUCAGUCAA